GUUUUAAUAGUUUAAUAAAAAAUAAUGAUCUUGUAAAUCAUAGAUAAGAUAGACCUUUUAAAACU
rnacentral:tRNA from 1 species